UGGAAGAAAGAAUUAGGGUUAUGCUGGAAUAUGUGGAUGGAAAAUUUAAUUCAAUAGAGUAAAGAUUUACUGUGCUGGAAGGGAAAUUGGAUAGAUUCUCUGCUGAUAGCAAUGCAUUAAGGGAGGACUUGAGAUCUUUCAUGAAUACAUUUGUAAAAGAAAAAAGCAAGGAGUUCUCUACUAAGGAUAUUGGAGUCGAGAG
rnacentral:misc_RNA from 1 species